GUUCAAGUUUUUAAGGGCACACGGUGAAUGCCUUGGCAUUAGG
rnacentral:rRNA from 1 species